rnacentral:rRNA from 1 species
UACGUAGGGGGCAAGCGUUGUCCGGAUUUACUGGGCGUAAAGCGCGUGUAGGCGGAAACGAAAGUCCGGUGUGAAAGCCCCCCGCUCAACGGGGGAAGGUCGCUGGAAACUGCGUUUCUUGAGGGCGGCAGAGGGAAGUGGAAUUGCUGGUGUAGCGGUGAAAUGCGUAGAGAUCAGCAGGAACACCCGUGGCGAAGGCGGCUUCCUGGGCCGCGCCUGACGCUGAGACGCGAAAGCGUGGGGAGCGAACGGG